rnacentral:rRNA from 1 species
CUUUUCUUGUUAGUUUUUGAAGUAUGGCCUGCCCGCUGACUUUUAGUUGAAGGGCCGCGGUAUUUUGCCCGUGCAAAGGUAGCAUAAUCAUUAGUUCUUUAAUUGUGAUCUGGAAUGAAUGGCUUGACGAGAUGCGAGCUGUCUUAAAUUGAAUGUUUUAUUGAAUUUGGUUUUUGAGUUAAAAUUCUUAGAUGUUUUUAUGGGACGAGAAGACCCUAUAGAGUUUGACAUGUUGGCUUGCUUAUUUAUUUGUCGUUUGUUUUGUUUUUGAUAAGUGGGCUUUAUGUUUUGUUGGGGUGAUGAGAGGAAUAUAGUUUAACUCCUCUUGGUUUAGUGGUUAUAUUGAUAUAUAUUUAUUUGAUCCAUUUAUUUUGAUUAUAAGAUUAAAUUACC